AGUGAACGCUGGCGGCGGGCCUAAUACAUGCAAGUCGAAGGAAGUGGCGCACGGGUGAGUAAAAUAUAGCUAAUCUGCCCCGUGCUGGAGGACUAAAGUUAGAAAUGACUGCUAAUACCCCAUAGCAAGGGAUGAGACUAUAUCGUAUCAGCUAGUCGGUGGGGUGAAGGCCUACCGAGGGUAUGACGCGUAACUGGUCUGAGAGGAUACUCAGUAGCCUCCGAACUGAGACACGGUCCGAAAUCCUUCGGGAGGCAGCGGUAGGGAAUAUUACGCAAUGGGCGAAACCCUGGCGCAGCAACGCCGCGUGGAGGACGUCACUUUGCGGAGCGUAAACUCCUGUUUUUAGUGAAGCGGUACCUAACGAAUAAGCACCGGCUAACUCCGUGCCAGCAGCCGCGGUAAUUC
rnacentral:rRNA from 1 species